CAUCAGCAACCCAACCGACCUGCACGCACCUGGUGGCUGCAGUCCUGCUCUGGCACCUCUCCCUUCCACACAAGCCUUCUUGCUUGUAGUUGUCAUCAGGGCAGUAGCCGUUAACUCACCUUCAGCACACUGCUAAGCUUUCAGUACAGUGCUGCUGAGUGUCGACACACUACAGUGCAGGCUUCUGGGCUCAUUUGUCGUGUCUCCCUUGAGCUCCUAACCUCUGACGUUUUCAACCCUGGAAGCUUCCAUUCCCCACUCUGUCCGUGUAUUUCAAACGCUUUAUGCAUGCACAGUCAGUCAUUCAGUAUCUAUCGUACUUAGUAAGUGCCCUCAAGCCCAAGCCAUCUUAAGUAUUCACCAGCCUUUGCUUCAGUCCUAAAAGCAACCUAACUUCAAUUAUCAGGUUUUGUUUUGAUGAAAAGUAAAAAUCAAACACGUUUUCUAUUGUGAAAGCAAAGAAUGAUAGUCGGUAUGAUAGUGGGUAGGAAGAAACAAAAAGAAAAAAUUAAAAGGGUAUCUGUACUUGUUUCUUCCUAAGAAGCAAAGAUUCUCGUCGAGUCUGCCUAUUGAUUCUACCCUCUGAGACAACAGAGAUAUGAUUCCCUUGCUUGCAGUCACUUGUUCAGCCAAAUGACCUUGACUUUCCUGGCUGGAAAAGAACCCUGCCUGCAAAUCAUCACAGCUAAGGUAACCACGUUUUUAUAAGUAACUGAACAAAACACAGAAGUCCUCUGCAGUAACCAAAAGGCAGCUACUUAAUGAUGGUCAACUGUUGCUCGUUAUCUCCUAUAAGCUGACAGACAAAUUUCCAUCUGCUUGUUAAGUUUGUGCUCUUACAUUAUAGUUUUGAGAUAGGAGUUAUCAUCGGUAGUCCAUCCGGGUUAUCGUUUCCUUUUCCCUGGCCUGCCUCUGACUGCUGGGUUUUGCCUUGUGGCAAUCAAUCCCGGGUCACCUGUAAACACAACCUUCUCGGCCAUCUCCAGUUUGCUUUUUAGCCAUCUCAAGGGCAUCUUAAAGCUUGUGCUUUUGAUGUCUGUCGGGGGCAGGGGGUUGUAAAGUCACACCAAGGCUUGUCACUGCCAGUUGAAGCUUGUGGAGAUCUCCCUGCCCAAGGAUCCAGUCUGUGUGUGUAAGGACUGGGCCAGGGGUGGGUGGAGAGAGACCUCGAGGGCCCGCACAAGUCCUGUGUCCUCCAAGCAGGUUUGGGCAUGGUGGUGGUGGCCGCCUGGGACACUCUGUCCCUCUGGCUUGGCUCACUUUGGGGGAAAAGGAAACCGCCUUCCCACAAGGCGAAUCAUUCUAACGGGUUUCCCGUCGGAUUCCUGCUUCCACGAGGCGCAGGACACGGGGGAAUGAAAAAGGAGGUGGGCCCAGAGGACAGGGGUUAGGGCAGCAGGAGAAGGAUGCUCAGGGAUCUCCUCCUGCCCGCCAGGGGUGGGGAACCGAGCCCAGGAGCGCGAGGCACUGAGACCGCAGCCCCGGCGCCCCGCCCCCGCCCCGGGCGCCCCGCCCCCGCCCCGGGCGCCCCGC